GCUCCUGUAGCUCAGUUGGUAUGAGCAGCUGUCUCGUAAACAGCAGGUCAUGGGUUCGAGUCCCAUCAGGAGCUCCA
rnacentral:tRNA from 1 species